UAGAAAUUGCACGGGGCGUCCUAUUUGGUCGCCCCCAUUUAAAGUAUACCCAUUUUUUAAAAACCUUUUAACUUGUACCCACUUUUUAAAAAACUUCACCUCCCUUUUCCCUUGGAGCUCCAUUUUAGCUUCUGCUUCUUUUGCUUUCCUUCUAUCUUCUGUUAUCGUUUUCUCUUCCUUUGUUCUUGCUGCUGCUUUCUACGCAGCGUUGUUUACCUUUUCCUUUGUCCUUGCUGUUGCUUUUUCCACUGUGUUACUUUCUCCUUCACAGAAUACAUCUUCUUCUUUCUUUUUUGCCUUGGCUAGAAUACAACAGUUGUUGAUAACGUGUAAAUUAAUGGUUUUGUAGUUUAUAGGGAAAUAAGUAGUAGUAAUUAAAUAGAUCUAUAGCUAAAGUUAUGUGAAAAGAGUGGUAUUUGGAGUAGUAAACAUACAAUAAACUAAAUAAUUUCAGCUCUAUAGCUGAAAUUUUUCGAUUAUAAAAAAAAACUUUCAGUUACAAAAGAAAACUUCAACUCUAGAACUGAGAUUUUUAUUUGUAACUGGCCUUCAGCACUAAAGCUGAAAGAUUGGGAUUGGCUUGAGAUCUUCUGGUCUGAUUAAUCGAUUUGAUUUCGAUGGUUUUCUUGGUAUGGUUUUCAUUUUAAUUUUCUGAAAUAAACUGAUAGCAAGGCUUGUGUAACUACCAUAAUCAUGCUAUCACAAUAAUAAUAACAGCUACCUGUUGUUUUUUCUUUUACACUGAGAAAAGAGGUUAAACUCGAAUAAUAGUACUUUUUCCUUUUGUUGCGUCUCUGUUGAAAGAUAAUGAAUUUGUAAGCAGUACUUGUUCCUUUUGUUGCUUCUCUGUUAAAAGAUUAUGAAUUUGUAAGCAGCUGUCAAACAGGCAGGUUGGUCUAAUUUUUGACGGGUUAAAAUGGGUUGAACAGUGCUUCUAGCACUCUACCUGAAGUAUGAACUAUACAUAAUAACUGGCGGAUGUUAUCGUUUGUCCGUGUUCAAAGCAACGAGAAACUGGAAACCAGUAAGAAGAAGAGA
rnacentral:lncRNA from 1 species